UCCUACGGGAGGCAGCAGUGAGGAAUAUUGGACAAUGGGCGCAAGCCUGAUCCAGCCAUGCCGCGUGCAGGAUGACGGUCCUAUGGAUUGUAAACUGCUUUUGCACAGGAAGAAACAACAUUACGUGUAAUGUCUUGACGGUACUGUGAGAAUAAGGAUCGGCUAACUCCGUGC
rnacentral:rRNA from 1 species